GCUCGCUUCGGCAGCACAUAUGCUAACUUUGGAACGAUGCGGAGAAGGUUCGCACGGCCCCUGCGCAAGCACGACUCGCCGAUCCGCGGAGCGUGCCCCAGUUUU